AUCUAAUCUAUAGAAUUGCGAAUGGAAAUAGGGAAUGUGUCAAAGUGACAACAAUCCGACCAAAGAGCAUCGAAACAGCUGAAUGCAUCAGUGCAUGGACGUCUUGCUAAACUCCGAAAUAUAUAAAAGAAACUUAAAUUAAAAAGCAUACAAGACUAACAAACGCCUUGUGACAGGCGCAAACAUGCGGCGGGGUUAAACAUGAUUUUUGAAAACUCAACCCUUCCCCUAUACCUUUAGCCAAUGUAGAAAAAAAUAAAAAUCAAUUCGCACAGUAAACAUCAGUUUAAAAGAGAUACGAGUCCAAUGUCAGAAAAGGUAACAAAAGAAACUUAUCAAAAUGACAAUUCUAUAUAAAUUAACAAAGGACCACUAGCAGUUACUGACAUGCC
rnacentral:lncRNA from 1 species